rnacentral:tRNA from 1 species
GCUAUUGUAGUUUAAUUUAGAAUUUACAAUUUGUAAUUGUGAGGUGUAAAUAGUAU